UCCCAAACGAAGUUUGGAGACUUAUUGUUUUUUGUAGGGCUCUUAUUAUGUAUUAUCAUUAGUGUCAUCCGUCUUCAGCGGAAGACCCUUCUAAUAUUCUGUUGUUUCUUUUUCCCUUUUCUUGUUAAAGUCUUCCAGUUUGAAAUUUCGAACAGAAAACCUUUUUAUUUUUGUUCGGUUUCUUUUUAUUUUUUUAUUUUUUUUUUUUUUACAAAGUUUAUGUACGUGAGUUCUCGAAAUCUACACGAACAAUUUAAAUGAAACUUUCAGAUCUGCUAGAAAGUGCCGAAGCUUACUUGAGCUAGAAAAUUAAGGUUAAAGAAGUGUUGUAAUUUUUCGUGGUUUUCACAACAUAUCUCGUUUCUGUUAAGUAUUUUGU
rnacentral:sRNA from 1 species